rnacentral:rRNA from 1 species
GAUGAACGCUAGCGACAGGCUUAACACAUGCAAGUCGAGGGGCAGCAUAAAAGUAGCAAUACUUUGGUGGCGACCGGCGCACGGGUGAGUAACGCGUAUGCAACCUACCUAUCAGAGGGGAAUAACCCGGCGAAAGUCGGACUAAUACCGCAUAAAACAGGGGCACCGCAUGGUGAUAUUUGUUAAAGAAAUUCGCUGAUAGAUGGGCAUGCGUUCCAUUAGGUAGUUGGUGAGGUAACGGCUCACCAAGCCGACGAUGGAUAGGGGAACUGAGAGGUUGGUCCCCCACACUGGUACUGAGACACGGACCAGACUCCUACGGGAGGCAGCAGUGAGGAAUAUUGGUCAAUGGGCGGGAGCCUGAACCAGCCAAGUCGCGUGAAGGAAGAAGGAUCUAUGGUUCGUAAACUUCUUUUGCAGGGGAAUAAAGUGCAGGACGUGUCCUGUUUUGUAUGUACCCUGAGAAUAAGGAUCGGCUAACUCCGUGCCAGCCGCCGCCGUAUAC